rnacentral:ncRNA from 1 species
GUCAACAGUGUGGUGUUAAAGGUGUCGUUGCAUGUGCUGAAAUCAGUUCGUAGGCUCCCUUGAUUGGGGCUUCAGAGCGGGUGCAGGACCCAUAACGAACGAUGUUUUGUGCAUGGUGUCGCGGCUCCUAAUCGAGUCGGGUUGCUUGAGACUGCAGCCCAAAGCGGGUGGUAAAUCUCACCCAAGACUAAAUAUUCGUACGAGACCGAUAGCGAACAAGUACCGCGAGGGAAAGUUGAAAAGAACUCUGAAGAGAGAGUUCAACAGGACGUGAAACCGUUGACAGGCAAACGGAUGGAGCUGACGGUGCAAUUUUGACCAAAAUCAGUCGUCGCUGGGUUCGUUGGCGAAUGAAUCUUUUGCAAACUUGUUUGUGUAGAUUAUCUUUCGAUUCGAAUCUACGCACGGUGCACUUUUGGUCGAUCAGCGUCACGAGCAACGUUCGCAAAUGUUUUGCUGCCGACAGUAAUGCUGUUUGUUGUUUUUAAAAGCAACGAACAAUAAACGCGGCUUGUGGAAGAGGUAAUUGUGAUGAAAAGUUU